CCUAGGGUUGCUCCAGUGAGGAAUAUUGCACAAUGGGGGGAACCCUGAUGCAGCAACGCCGCGUGGAGGAUGACGCAUUUCGGUGUGUAAACUCCUUUUAUAUGUCAAGAAAAUGACGGUAGCAUAUGAAUAAGAACCGGCUAACUCCGUGCCAGCAGCCGCGGUAAUACGGAGGGUGCAAGCGUUACUCGGAAUCACUGGGCGUAAAGGACGCGUAGGCGGGUUGGAAAGUCAGGUGUGAAAUCCUACAGCUUAACUGUAGAACUGCACUUGAAACUUCUAAUCUAGAGUAUGGGAGGGGGAGAUGGAAUUAGUGGUGUAGGGGUAAAAUCCGUAGAUAUCACUAGGAAUACCUAAAGCGAAGGCGAUCUCCUGGAACAUUACUGACGCUAAGGCGUGAAAGCGUGGGGAGCAAACAGGAUUAGAUACCCCUGUAGUC
rnacentral:rRNA from 1 species